CGGCGGACGGCUGAGUAACACGUAGGAACGUACCCCAAACUGAGGGAUAACUGCUCGAAAGAGUAGCUAAUACCGCAUGUGCUCUUCGGAGUAAAGCUUCGGCGGUUUGGGAACGGCCUGCGCAAGAUUAGCUAGUUGGUGAGGUAAUAGCUCACCAAGGCUUCGAUCUUUAGCUGGUCUGAGAGGAUGAUCAGCCAGACUGGGACUGAGAACGGCCCAG
rnacentral:rRNA from 1 species